rnacentral:rRNA from 1 species
UACGAAGGGUGCAAACGUUGCUCGGAAUUAUUGGGCGUAAAGCGCACGUAGGCGGCUUGGCAAGUCGGAUGUGAAAGCCCUCGGCUCAACCAAGGAAGUGCAUCCGAAACUGCUGAGCUUGAGUACUUAAGAGGAUCGCGGAAUUCCCGGUGUAGAGGUGAAAUUCGUAGAUAUCAGGAGGAACACCGAUGGCGAAGGCAGGUCUCUGGGCUGACACUGACGCUCAUGCACGAAAGCGUGGGGAGCAAACAGG